rnacentral:tRNA from 1 species
GUGGUUGUGGCUCAGUAGUAGACUGCUUGCCUAGCAGGCAUGAGGACCUGGGUUCAAUCCUCAGCACCACA